AACGCUAGCUACAGGCUUAACACAUGCAAGUCGAGGGGCAGCACGGGAGUAGCAAUACAACUGGUGGCGACCGGCGCACGGGUGAGUAACGCGUAUGCAACCUACCUAUCAGAGGGGAAUAACCCGGCGAAAGUCGGACUAAUACCGCAUAAAACAGGGGCACCGCAUGGUGAUAUUUGUUAAAGAAAUUCGCUGAUAGAUGGGCAUGCGUUCCAUUAGGUAGUUGGUGAGGUAACGGCUCACCAAGCCGACGAUGGAUAGGGGAACUGAGAGGUUGGUCCCCCACACUGGUACUGAGACACGGACCAGACUCCUACGGGAGGCAGCAGUGAGGAAUAUUGGUCAAUGGGCGAGAGCCUGAACCAGCCAAGUCGCGUGAAGGAAGAAGGAUCUAUGGUUCGUAAACUGCUUUUAUACAGGAAUAAAGUUAGCCACGUGUGGUUAUUUGUAGGUACUGUAUGAAUAAGGACCGGCUAAUUCCGUGCCAGCAGCCGCGGUAAUACGGAAGGUCCAGGCGUUAUCCGGAUUUAUUGGGUUUAAAGGGAGCGUAGGCCGUCUGUUAAGCGUGUUGUGAAAUGUAGAUGCUCAACAUCUGAAUUGCAGCGCGAACUGGCAGACUUGAGUGUGCGCAACGUAGGCGGAAUUCGUGGUGUAGCGGUGAAAUGCUUAGAUAUCACGAAGAACUCCGAUUG
rnacentral:rRNA from 1 species